UGUAAGAAGCAAGGGCUUAAUCACCAGGGAAGGCCGUGGGAAGCGGAAAGUCCUAUGUGUUCAGAUGCUUCAUGAGCAAGGGAUGUUGGUGGCCCCACAGGGCUCUGGGACACAGCAUAAAAGCCUGCGCUGCUCCAGGACCUGCAUCCUCCUCUCUUGCUUCACUUUCCUCGAGGAACGAGCUUUGCUUCCUUCACCGAGAGAUGUCUUGCUUCAGACCCUGUCCCCCACGGCCCUGCUGUGCCUCUGGCCCAACCCCACUUGCAAGCAGCUGCAGUGAGCCCUGUGUCGCCCGCUGCGCUGACUCGACGGUGUUCAUCGAGCCCUCGCCAGUGGUGGUGACCCUGCCAGGGCCCCAUCCUCAACUCUUUCCCUCAGAGCACCGCUGUGGGAUCGUCUCUGUCAGCUGCUGUUGGGAGCUCCCUCAGUGCCAGUGGAGUUCCCAUCUCUUCUGGGGGCUCCCUUGGUCUGGGUGGGUCCGGGAUGUGUCUGCCUGUCCCCCGCUGCAGUCUGAACUGCUGAAGCUGGCGAAUCAUCCCUUCGGGAGCAGGACGGAAGACGGGACCCUGCAGCAGCAGGUCAUGGACAUGUCUUGCAGACAGGCUGGGUGUCCUCAUGCCACCUGGCAGGAGGGACCUGUGCCCACUUCUCCUCGCUGCACGGCUGGCGUGGCCGUGUCUCCUCUGGCUCUUCUUUUCUCUGAGCCCUCCAGAAAGGGCUCGUUCUCUUCUGUUUUGCUGAAACUCCUACUGAACAGGAGAGGGUGCUAGAGUUAGGGACCACUCUGGGUGGGUUGCCAUUGCCACAAGGGAUGGCAGAUUGGGAAAAGGCAAGCACUUUAUGUGCAGCUUGUCCUUGGGGAACGGGCCAUCCUCUUUGCGUCACUCAACCCUGCAGAUGUGUUUCUUGGUCUCUAUUCUGUGCCACUGCAUUUCCUCCUUCUCAUUAAAGACUUUGUGCAGCAUA